rnacentral:lncRNA from 1 species
AUGAAAACGGGAACCGUUGGCAUAAUAAAAGCGUUUUGGUUGGCGUGUUUCUUGGCUUUUGGGGACUCGAGAGGUAUGAUGGAUGAUCUCCGAUUGUCCUUUGGAAGGAAGGUCUAUUUCAUCCCAGUCGCACGAACCCCGCAAACGUGCGGCUGGACGAGGGAGGGAGGGAGGGAGGGAGGGAGGGAGGCCAACCACGGGAUUUCCGCACGACCAGCUGAUGGACACGACCGCCCCCGUGAGCCGGGCGGAGGGCAGCCGCCCGGGUCUCGCAGCUACGUGCCCGCGGAACCCUCGGGACUGCGAGAAGCCCGAGCGACCCGCAGUCACGCGGCGCUCGGCGCGGACAUCUGGUCGGCCCGCGCGCCACGGGACCCGGGGGCCGAUUCCGGGCCGGGCCGCUGGUCGACCCGGCAGGGCGGCGGCCCCGGGGGCCUCGCCGCUGCUCGUCCGCAGGCUCCAGGGAGCCCUCGGGGCUCCGAGAAGCCCGAGCGCCCCGUGGCCCCGCGACCCCGCGGCGCUCGGCGCGGACAUCUGGUCGACCCGCGUGCCACCAGACCCGGGGGCCGGGUCGCCGGUCGACCCGGCAGGGCGGCGGCCCCGGCGGCCUCGCCGCUGCUCGUCCGCCGGGUCGCCGGAGCCCUCGAGCCUCCGAGAAGGCCGAGCGCCCCGCGGUCCCGCGCCGCUCGGCGCUCGGCGCGGACAUCUGGUCGACCCGCGCGCCACGGGACCCGGGGGCCGAGUCCGGGCCGGGCCGCUGGUCGACCCGGCAGGGCGGCGGCCCCGGGGGCCUCGCGGCCGCUCGUCCGCAGCCUCCAGGGAGCCCCGAGGGGCUCCGAGAAGCCCGUGCGCCCCGCGGCCCGCGGCGCUCGGCGCGAACAUCUGGUCGACCCGCGCGCCCCGGGCCGGGGACCAAGUCCAGGCGGGACAGCUGGUCGACCCGGCAGGGCGGCGGCCCCCGGGGAGUCGCGCGCGCGAGUCCGCGGGGUCUCUGGAGCCGACGGAGGCCAGGGAGCCCACCCAGACCGCCGAGAGCCCCGCGGCCCCGCGGCGCUCGGCGCGGACAUCUGGUCGACCCGCGCGCCCCGGGCCGGGGACCAAGUCCAGGCGGGACAGCUGGUCGACCCGGCAGGGCGGCGGCCCCCGGGGAGUCGCGCGCGCGAGUCCGCGGGGUCUCUGGAGCCGACGGAGGCCAGGGAGCCCACCCAGACCGCCGAGAGCCCCGCGGCCCCGCGGCGCUCGGCGCGGACAUCUGGUCGGCCCGCGCGCCCCGGGCCGGGGACCAAGUCCGGGCGGGACAGCUGGUCGACCCGGCAGGGCGGCGGCCCCCGCGCGCGGGAAGCCCGCGAGCGAGGCGGGGGAGCGACGGAGAGACGAACGCCGCGGAGGAGGACCCCGGGCGCGCGAGGCCACGGCCGACGUCCGCCCGGCCUUCCGCCCCGCCCCCCGCCACGACCGACCCCCGAAGGAGGGCGGGCGGGCGGGCGGGCGGAGGGACGCGGGCGGGCGGACGGGGGCACGAGCCGGCGGCACGGGCGAGGGGCCCCGCCGGGGAGGAGGGGGGCGGAGCGGGACGCCGCCACGCGCACGGCGGACGCGUCGCGGCGACGCGGGGGAGGAGAGCGCGGAGGGGCGGCGGCGGGCGCGGCGGGGCCGGCGGUCGCCCCCGACCGCCGACCUCCCGCGCGCGUCCCACCGCCUCCCGACACCCGCCCCUCCGCCGCGAGCCGCCACGGCCCGUCGGGCGGCGGACGCGGCGCCCGCCCGCCCGCCCGGGGCUCGGGGCACGCAGCGCGGCGCGGCCGCGACCCGGGGGAGGGCGCGCGGCGGCGGACGACGCCGCGGCGUCCCGCGGGUCACCGCCGGGGCACGCGUCCCCGGGGCGCGGCCCCGCGCACGCGACUCGGCCUCGGCGCGAGCCACCCCGACGGGGCGAGGCCGGGGAGGGGUCACGGUCCGGGACCCGGGCGCGCCGGGGACCGGCGAGGGGCCGGCCGGACGCACCGGGACGGACCGCCGACGGGGGCGAGCGGCGACCGGACAGGCGGCCCGGACGCGGGCCCCCGAACACGGCGGCCCCGACCGCGCGCCGCGGGACCCGUCUCGUCCCCGCCCCGGCCACCCCGAGGCCGCGUGCGGCGCGAGGGAGCCCCCGAAGGCACCGUGGCGGCCACGGGCACCUCGGCGCGAGCUCUCGCGUCUGCCUCUCCCUCGACUCGCGGGCGGCGGCCCCCACCCCGGGACCCCGCGGCGCCGCCGCCACCGACCCCCACGCGCCUCCGACGACCGGGCGCCGGGGCGCGUGGGAGGAGGGGCGGGCGCGCGGGGCGGAGGAGGGGCACCGCGUCUGCACUUAGGGGGACGGAGGGCCCGGGGCGGGCCCUGCGAGAGACCCCCAGCCGCGCACCCCGGGGCAGGCGACACCCACCCCGGGGGCGAUUGAUCGUCAAGCGACGCUCAGACAGGCGUAGCCCCGGGAG